AACGAACGCUGGCGGCAGGCCUAACACAUGCAAGUCGAACGAACCGUUUACGGUGAGUGGCGCACGGGUGAGUAACACGUGGGAAUAUACAUUUCGGUAAGGAAUAACGUAGAGAAAUUUACGCUAAUACCUUAUAAUGACUACGGUCCAAAGAUUUAUCGCCGAAGGAUUAGCCGGCGUUAGAUUAGGUAGUUGGUAGGGUAAUGGCCUACCAAGCCUACGAUCUAUAGCUGGUCUUAGAGGAUGAUCAGCCACACUGGAACUGAGACACGGUCCAGACUCCUACGGGAGGCAGCAGUGAGGAAUAUUGCGCAAUGGAGGAAAGCCUGACGCAGCCAUGCCGCGUGAGUGACGAAGGCCUUAGGGUUGUAAAGCUCUUUCAGAUGGAAAGAUAAUGACGGUAACAUCAGAAGAAGCUCCGGCUAAAUUCGUGCCAGCCGCCGCCGUAA
rnacentral:rRNA from 1 species